rnacentral:rRNA from 1 species
GACGAACCGUGCGAACGUUAUUCGGAAUCACUGGGCUUAAAGCGCGUGUAGGCGGGACGGCACGUCGGUCGUUGAAAUCCCCCGGCUCAACCGGGGAACGGGCGCCGAUACGACCGUCCUGGAGGGACGUAGGGGGACCUGGAACUUCCGGUGGAGCGGUGAAAUGCGUUGAGAUCGGAAGGAACGCCCGUGGCGAAAGCGAGGUCCUGGACGCCUACUGACGCUGAGACGCGAAAGCCAGGGGAGCGAACGGG